UCGAGAAUCUUCCGCAAUGGGCGAAAGCCUGACGGAGCGACGCCGCGUGAUUGAUGAAGUCCUUCGGGACGUAAAAAUCUUUUAUGGAUGAGAAAGUUUAUUGAUCUAGCCAUGAAUAAGGGGCUCCAAACUCUGUGCCAGCAGGAGCGGUAAUACAGAGGCCCCAAGCGUUGUCCGGAAUCACUGGGCGUAAAGGGUGUGUAGGUGGUCUUAUUAGUCUCUCGUUAAAACUCCCGGCCUAACCGGGAAGGUGCGAGGGAAACGGUAAGACUUAGAGGGUGCGAGAGGUCUGUGGAACUCAUGGAGUAGGGGUGAAAUCCGUUGAUAUCAUGGGGAACACCAAAAGCGAAGGCAGCAGACUGGCGCAUUCCUGACACUGAAACACGAAAGCGUAGGUAGC
rnacentral:rRNA from 1 species